rnacentral:rRNA from 1 species
GACAGGGGUCUCGAGCGUUAAUCGGAAUUACUGGGCUUAAAGGGUGCGUAGGCCGGCCCGCAAGUGUCUUGUGAAAUCCCCCGGCUCAACCGGGGAACUGCUAGGCAUACUGCGGGUCUUGAGGAAGGUAGGGGUUGCCAGAACUGUAGGUGGAGCGGUGAAAUGCGUAGAUAUCGAGAGGAACACCUGCGGCGAAGGCGGGUUGCUGGGCCGACACUGACGCUGAUGCGCGAAAGCCAGGGGAGCGAACGGG